UAAUACGUAGGCAGCGAGCGUUGUUCGGAGUUACUGGGCGUAAAGAGUGCGUAGGCGGUGGCCUAAGUUUGGUGUGAAAUCUCCCGGCUCAACUGGGAGGGUGCGCCGAAAACUGGGUUGCUGGAGUGUGGGAGAGGUAAGCGGAAUUCCUGGUGUAGCGGUGAAAUGCGUAGAUAUCAGGAGGAACACCUGUGGUGUAGACGGCUUACUGGACCAUAACUGACGCUGAGGCACGAAAGCGUGGGUAGCAAACAGGAUUAGAUACCCUGGUAGUCCACGCCCUAAACGAUGCAUACUUGGUGUGAGCCAUUCAGUUGGUUCGUGCCGGAGCUAACGCGUUAAGUAUGCCGCCUGGGGAGUACGGUCGCAAGGCUG
rnacentral:rRNA from 1 species